AAAACAGUCUUUCAGCAUCCACAGUAAGGAAUUUCCAGCAAUGAGCAGAACUCUCACGUCAACAAAAAUCAUUCUCAAUAUAGCAGGAUCCACGAAACUAGUGGCCAAGUUCGCUUCUGAGGAACCUGGCUAUAGUCCAGAUACCCAAUGAAUGGGAGAUAAAAAGUGGCAAGAAGAAGUCUAGUAGCAGAUUAAUUAUUUAAAUGAUGCCAACGAAAUGUUG
rnacentral:lncRNA from 1 species